UACAGAGGGUGCGAGCGUUAAUCGGAAUUACUGGGCGUAAAGCGUGCGUAGACGGUUACAUAAGUCGGGUGUGAAAGCCCCGGGCUCAACCUGGGAAUUGCAUUCGAGACUGCGUAGCUAGGGUGCGGAAGAGGGAAGCGGAAUUUCCGGUGUAGCGGUGAAAUGCGUAGAUAUCGGAAGGAACACCAGUGGCGAAAGCGGCUUCCUGGUCCAGCACCGACGUUCAGGCACGAAAGCGUGGGGAGCAAACAGG
rnacentral:rRNA from 1 species